AUUGAACGCUGGCGGCAUGCCUUACACAUGCAAGUCGAACGGUAACAGGUCUUCGGAUGCUGACGAGUGGCGAACGGGUGAGUAAUACAUCGGAACGUGCCCAGACGUGGGGGAUAACGAGGCGAAAGCUUUGCUAAUACCGCAUACGAUCUAAGGAUGAAAGCAGGGGACCGCAAGGCCUUGCGCGUUUGGAGCGGCCGAUGGCAGAUUAGGUAGUUGGUGGGAUAAAAGCUUACCAAGCCGACGAUCUGUAGCUGGUCUGAGAGGACGACCAGCCACACUGGGACUGAGACACGGCCCAGACUCCUACGGGAGGCAGCAGUGGGGAAUUUUGGACAAAGGGCGAAAGCCUGAUCCAGCAAUGCCGCGUGCAGGAUGAAGGCCUUCGGGUUGUAAACUGCUUUUGUACGGAACGAAAAGGCUCUGGCUAAUACCUGGGGCACAUGACGGUACCGUAAGAAUAAGCACCAGCUAACUACGUG
rnacentral:rRNA from 1 species